GAUGAUGAUCCCAAGCCUUCUUGCGAUCUCUUUUAAAGGACCCUCUAUAAAUUUAAACUCGGGGCUUUGGAGGGGGGUUGCUGUCUAUUGAAAUUUCUCCUUCGGGAGUGUUCUUUUGUUAAGGGAAUGUGUUUUUUACGAGAGUGUUGCUCUGCUAAAAAUAUACCGGGGAUGGUUUUCCGGUUUAUCCUGGAGGGCUUGUAGCUCAGUUGGUUAGAGCGCGCGCUUGAUAAGCGUGAGGUCGGAGGUUCAAGUCCUCCCAGGCCCACCAAUUUAGAUUCACUUGGUCUGUUUUUAGGAUUUUUUUUCUUUUAAGACCAAACUUAAAAGCCGAAGAAAAAGCCAAAAGGAAAGGAUCUAAGGAAAAAGGCCAAGAUCCUUUGCAGUUCGACGGGGAAGUAGAGAAAAGUUUUGAGAGCCUCAAAUUGUCGUUUUUAGAUUUUGAUGCAAUUUGCGAUUUUUGUUGAAAUGUUCAUUGGCUGUUUUGCAAGAUUUUGGGUAUUUUAUAAGAUUAUUGAGAAGCUUAUGUUCCCAUUGAGAAGAUUAGAGAAUGUCGGUUUAAUGUUUAGGGCUUUUGUUUAGGGGCCGUAGCUCAGCUGGGAGAGCACCUGCUUUGCAAGCAGGGGGUCGUCGGUUCGAUCCCGUCCGGCUCCACCAUUCAGAUCAUCAUCGUUGUUAUGAGAACGGUCUUUGGUAAAAGGUUUUCUAACUUUUUGCGUGUUCU
rnacentral:tRNA from 1 species